UGCAGUCGAACGAUGAACCAGGGCCUUGCCCUGGGGAUUAGUGGCGAACGGGUGAGUAACACGUGGGCAACCUGCCCCUGACUCUGGGAUAACUCCGGGAAACCGGGGCUAAUACCGGAUACGAACCACGACGACAUCGUCGAGGUUGGAAAGUUUUUCGGUCAGGGAUGGGCCCGCGGCCUAUCAGCUAGUUGGUGGGGUAACGGCCCACCAAGGCGACGACGGGUAGCCGGCCUGAGAGGGCGACCGGCCACACUGGGACUGAGACACGGCCCAGACUCCUACGGGAGGCAGCAGUGGGGAAUAUUGCACAAUGGGCGGAAGCCUGAUGCAGCAACGCCGCGUGAGGGAUGACGGCCUUCGGGUUGUAAACCUCUUUUAGCAGGGAAGAAGCGAGAGUGACGGUACCUGCAGAAAAAGCACCGGCUAACUACGUGCCAGCAGCCGCGGUAAU
rnacentral:rRNA from 1 species